rnacentral:rRNA from 1 species
CAGCACCUCAAGUGGUCAGGAUGAUUAUUGGGCCUAAAGCAUCCGUAGCCGGCUCAGUAAGUUUUCGGUUAAAUCUGUACGCUUAACGUACAGGCUGCCGGGAAUACUGCAGAGCUAGGGAGUGGGAGAGGUAGACGGUACUCGGUAGGAAGGGGUAAAAUCCUUUGAUCUAUUGAUGACCACCUGUGGCGAAGGCGGUCUACCAGAACACGUCCGACGGUGAGGGAUGAAAGCUGGGGGAGCAAACCGGAUUAGAUACCCGAGUAGUCC